AUGGCAGCCCCCAGGGAGCAGUCCCAGCGUAGGCUGGGGAAGAAGCAAAGCCUGGGGAAGAAGCAGAGCUUAUUUUUUUUUAACUCUGCCCAGCUGUUUCCUGGGUGCUCAGGCUGGCAGCAUGGCCUGAAUCUUACUGCUGAUUCCCAGACAUAUUCACACUUCAUGGUUCUGCUUAGACUAAGGACCUCAUCAUAUGAAAAUCCAGAAGCCAGGAAACUGUGGGACAGCAAGGGAAACCAUGGGGUGGCAUCCAGCUUUAUUACCUUACCAACUAAUUGUGUUUCCUGGCUGCCCCUUGGCUUUCUCUUAUGCUGUCCUUGACUUGUUAAAUGAGGAAAUCACCUGUCUCCUCAGAGAUUCUUCUGAGCAUGCUGCCAAAACGGAGCCAGGGCGGAGCCUUGCCGGAAGUAGUCCUGAAUCAUAUGAUGAGCUCUGAUGGGCUUCAUCCCAGUUCUGUCUCGACAACACUCUAGAAUGGGGAAAAAACUCAUCGGAUGAGGUCCUAAAAAUGAAACCAGUAUCCAUGCUUCAGCCAGUCAUAGGUCAUUUUUGUUGCUGUCGCCUGCAUGUUUGUCACGCAUUCUAUCAAUUAAAAAAAAUACUUAUCUGUGUAAGGUUCUUCAAAUUAUUAAAUCUCAGACAUGAUCACUGUCGUGACAGUCUCUAUAAUAGCUUCAAGUGAACAAAGAUUAUUUUGUUUAUUAAAAGAAUGGUAGUAUUUAUACUAUGGAUUAUUUUUUCUUGAAAGUUGAUGUGGUUGCUUAACUAAUUCUUCAGAGGUCGGGAAAUAAACUGAUUACACUUUAUAUAGUUUGUUUCUUCACUAUGAUGUCAUUGAAGACUUGCAUAUAAGGAAUCAUUCAGUUUUGAAAUAGGUGUGUUUACACAGCUCAUGCCUUCUUGCAGGACACUGGUAACAAUUAAUGUACAUGUACAGUGUUCUCUCACUUAUCACAGGGGUUCCGUUCCAGGACUUCUCACGAUAAGGGGAAAUCUGCAAAGUAGGGACACUAUUUUAAUUUUAAUAUUCAUACAUUAUUUUAAUUGUUAUGUGGCCUUUCUCCCCCUUGC
rnacentral:lncRNA from 1 species